rnacentral:tRNA from 2 species
GGACCGGUCGUCUAGUUUGGUUUGGAUGACGCACUCACACUGCGUAGGCCGUGGGUUCAAAUCCCAUCCGGUCCA